UUUUAAAUGUUCCCUUUCAAUACGAAAAAAUCUUUCUCCUUUUACUAAAGAUUUCCGUGGAGGAGAGCACUCAAAGGAGUCUAGAAAUACAAUUUUUUGAAAAAAAUGUUGAUAUUUUGU